CCCCUAGACGUUCUGGGCUGCACGCGCGCUACAAUAAUACGCACAGCGAGUAUCACCGAGCUCGAAAGGGCAAGGUAAACAAUAGAAAAGGUACUGUAAUGGUUAUAGAUCCUUGUAAUUAUUGAUCUUCAACGAGGAAUUCCUAGUAAGUAUGUGUCAUCAUCACGCACUGAUUACGUCCCUGCCCUUUGUACACACCGCCCGUCGCUCCUACCGAUUGGGUGAGCCGAUGAAACUCUCGGAUGUAGGCUAUUCAUAGCCCGCAGAAGAGAUUUGAAUCGUAGCGCUUAGAGGAAGGAGAANUCGUAACA
rnacentral:rRNA from 1 species